rnacentral:rRNA from 1 species
ACACGCAUGACACACUGCAUAUCAAUAAGCGGAGGAAAAGAAACUAACAAGGAUUCCCUUAGUAACGGCGAGUGAAGCGGGAAGAGCUCAAAUUUGAAAUCUUCAAGGUUCUACCUUGACGAAUUGUAGUUCAUAGAAGUGUUUUCUGUUAGUGGAGUGGCAAAAGUUCUUUGGAAUAGGACAUCAUAGAGGGUGAGAAUCCCGUAUUUGGUCAUUCCUCCUAGCGUUGUGAUACACUUUCAACGAGUCGGAUUGUUUGGGAAUGCAGUCCAAAAUGGGUGGUAAAUUUCAUCUAAAGCUAAAUAUUGGCGAGAGACCGAUAGCGAACAAGUACCGUGAGGGAAAGAUGAAAAGAACUUUGAAAAGAGAGUUAAACAGUACGUGAAAUUGUCAAAAGGGAAGCGUUUGACACCAGUGCUGUUUUUCCGAAAAUCAAUUACGAAUGUUUUGUUUUUAAGAAGUUAUGACUUCAUCGGCUUGCUUCUUUCUUUACGAAACUUUCUUAAUGCACUUUUCGGUUAACAAGUCAACAUCAAUUUCUUUUGUUGUAAAAGGGUAUGAGGAAGGUGGCUUUCUUUUCGGAGAAAGUGUUUAUAGCCUUGUAGCCUCUGCAAUCGGAGAGAUUGAGGUCUGCAGCGUAGAUCCUUCGGGGUUAGAUACAUUUGUGCUAAGUUAUAGCUUUUCAUAGACAACUUGUUGACUAUGUUAGUCUUGUAGCUUACUCGCUGAUGCUAUUUUACCUACGCUUAGGAUGUUGACGAGACUGUCGAUCUC